rnacentral:rRNA from 1 species
GGAUGAACGCUGGCGGCGUGCCUAAUACAUGCAAGUCGAGCGAACGGACGAGAAGCUUGCUUCUCUGAUGUUAGCGGCGGACGGGUGAGUAACACGUGGAUAACCUACCUAUAAGACUGGGAUAACUUCGGGAAACCGGAGCUAAUACCGGAUAAUAUUUUGAACCGCAUGGUUCAAAAGUGAAAGACGGUCUUGCUGUCACUUAUAGAUGGAUCCGCGCUGCAUUAGCUAGUUGGUAAGGUAACGGCUUACCAAGGCAACGAUGCAUAGCCGACCUGAGAGGGUGAUCGGCCACACUGGAACUGAGACACGGUCCAGACUCCUACGGGAGGCAGCAGUAGGGAAUCUUCCGCAAUGGGCGAAAGCCUGACGGAGCAACGCCGCGUGAGUGAUGAAGGUCUUCGGAUCGUAAAACUCUGUUAUUAGGGAAGAACAUAUGUGUAAGUAACUGUGCACAUCUUGACGGUACCUAAUCAGAAAGCCACGGCUAACUACGUGCCAGCAGCCGCGGUAAUACGUAGGUGGCAAGCGUUAUCCGGAAUUAUUGGGCGUAAAGCGCGCGUAGGCGGUUUUUUAAGUCUGAUGUGAAAGCCCACGGCUCAACCGUGGAGGGUCAUUGGAAACUGGAAAACUUGAGUGCAGAAGAGGAAAGUGGAAUUCCAUGUGUAGCGGUGAAAUGCGCAGAGAUAUGGAGGAACACCAGUGGCGAAGGCGACUUUCUGGUCUGUAACUGACGCUGAUGUGCGAAAGCGUGGGGAUCAAACAGGAUUAGAUACCCUGGUAGUCCACGCCGUAAACGAUGAGUGCUAAGUGUUAGGGGGUUUCCGCCCCUUAGUGCUGCAGCUAACGCAUUAAGCACUCCGCCUGGGGAGUACGACCGCAAGGUUGAAACUCAAAGGAAUUGACGGGGACCCGCACAAGCGGUGGAGCAUGUGGUUUAAUUCGAAGCAACGCGAAGAACCUUACCAAAUCUUGACAUCCUUUGACAACUCUAGAGAUAGAGCCUUCCCCUUCGGGGGACAAAGUGACAGGUGGUGCAUGGUUGUCGUCAGCUCGUGUCGUGAGAUGUUGGGUUAAGUCCCGCAACGAGCGCAACCCUUAAGCUUAGUUGCCAUCAUUAAGUUGGGCACUCUAAGUUGACUGCCGGUGACAAACCGGAGGAAGGUGGGGAUGACGUCAAAUCAUCAUGCCCCUUAUGAUUUGGGCUACACACGUGCUACAAUGGACAAUACAAAGGGCAGCGAAACCGCGAGGUCAAGCAAAUCCCAUAAAGUUGUUCUCAGUUCGGAUUGUAGUCUGCAACUCGACUACAUGAAGCUGGAAUCGCUAGUAAUCGUAGAUCAGCAUGCUACGGUGAAUACGUUCCCGGGUCUUGUACACACCGCCCGUCACACCACGAGAGUUUGUAACACCCGAAGCCGGUGGAGUAACCUUUUAGGAGCUAGCCGUCGAAGGUGGGACAAAUGAUUGGGGUGAAGUCGUAACAAGG